rnacentral:tRNA from 1 species
GCCGAAGUGGCGGAACGGCAGACGCGCCCGCCUCAAAAGCGGGUGGGGAGACUCAUGUGGGUUCGAGUCCCACCUUCGGCACCA